GACGAACGCUGGCGGCGUGCUUAACACAUGCAAGUCGUACGGUAAGGCCCUUUCGUGGGUACACGAGUGGCGAACGGGUGAGUAACACGUGAGUAACCUGCCCACAACUUUGGGAUAACGCUAGGAAACUGGUGCUAAUACUGGAUAUGUGCUCCUGCUGCAUGGUGGGGGUUGGAAAGCUACGGCGGUUGGGGAUGGACUCGCGGCCUUUCAGCUUGUUGGUGGGGUUGUGGCCUACCAAGGCGGCGACGGGUAGCCGGCCUGAGAGGGUGACCGGCCACCUUGGGGCUGGGAUUCGGCCCCGGCCCCUACGGGAGGCAGCAGGUGGGAAUAUUGCACCAUGGGCGCGAGCCUGAUGCAGCAACGCCGCGGGCCGGAUGACGGGCUUCGGGUUGUAAACCGCUUUCAGCAGGGACGAAGCUUUUUGUGACGGUACCUGCAGAAGAAGCACCGGCUAACUACGUG
rnacentral:rRNA from 1 species